GGGAUAUAGCUCAGUUGGGAGAGCAUUGCCUUUGCAAGGCAGGGGUCGUCGGUUCGAGUCCGUCUAUCUCC
rnacentral:tRNA from 1 species